UGUUGUGUGUAGAGUUUUGAGAGGAAAAAAAUUCAUCCAUUUUGGAAUAAGGCUGUAACAAAACAACACGUGGACAAAGUGAAGCGCUGUGAAGACUUUCUGGAUGCUCUGUAGAUGUUUCCUCCUCUUGUUAAGUGGUCGGGUUGAAGUUGUUCACAGUUAUGUGCUGAGUAUAUUUUAUAGUUCUUAUUAAAGUGCACACAGUCAGCUACAUUUAUGCAAAUUGUUGAGAAAA